rnacentral:tRNA from 1 species
UGGGGAGUCGCCAAGUGGUAAGGCAGCGGACUUUGGAUCCGCUAUCGCAGGUUCGAUCCCUGCCUCCCCAGCCA